rnacentral:rRNA from 1 species
UACAGAGGUCUCAAGCGUUGUUCGGAUUCAUUGGGCGUAAAGGGUGCGUAGGUGGCGCGGUAAGUCGGGUGUGAAAUUUCGGAGCUUAACUCCGAAACUGCAUUCGAUACUGCCGUGCUUGAGGACUGGAGAGGAGACUGGAAUUUACGGUGUAGCAGUGAAAUGCGUAGAUAUCGUAAGGAAGACCAGUGGCGAAGGCGGGUCUCUGGGCAACAACUGACGCUGAGGAGCGAAAGCGUGGGGAGCGAACAGG